rnacentral:lncRNA from 1 species
AAUCAAUAUCUCUUGCACUUAUGCGAAGAUUUUCCUAGUGAGUGAGUGAACAGUAAAGUCACCUUCUAGGCGUUUCCUUUUAACACAAUCUUUAUUCAUUCAUUGUCUUCUCUCCUUUUCCCUUCCUUCUUUCCCUUUCUUUGACACAGAAAUACCCAAGACUUCCGGGGCAGCACUCCAGCGCUAACAUGAUUCCACAUGUGUUGUGAGUUAGCAGCCUGCUACUGUCUGUGUAAACGCAAGAGCUGGGUUUGGUUUGCCGUUCUGAAAUACACCGGUGAAAGUCAGCAGUCUCCUCCUCGAAAUCAGACGGAGGGCAAAAGGCAGAAGAAGAUCGCGAUAAGACCCAGGAGCCCAGGGACUGCAAAACGGACUAGCCCAUGCCAAGGAAGACGGGACCGAAGGCUGGAGCGAGCGCCUGCAGGCUGAUGGAGUGACUGACUGACAACUUACACUCAAGCAAGAAAUCAAAUAGAAAUGGAGCCAGGAAGUGCUCCACAGAGGACAUAACUGAGAGAUGCAAGCAAGAAUUAGCUCCCUCUCGGUGUGACAGAGUAAACACUAGAUCAGUGGUGAGCUGG